GUGUCAGCCGCCGCGGUAAUACGAAGGGUGCAAGCGUUACUCGGAAUUACUGGGCGUAAAGCGUGCGUAGGUGGUUCGUUAAGUCUGAUGUGAAAGCCCUGGGCUCAACCUGGGAAUUGCAUUGGAUACUGGCGGGCUAGAGUGCGGUAGAGGAUGGCGGAAUUCCCGGUGUAGCAGUGAAAUGCGUAGAGAUCGGGAGGAACAUCUGUGGCGAAGGCGGCCAUCUGGACCAGCACUGACACUGAGGCACGAAAGCGUGGGGAGCAAACAGGAUUAGAAACCCCUGUAGUCC
rnacentral:rRNA from 1 species